CACAGUUCAGGCCCUGAGCCCCGCAGAGGAAGCUCCCUGUGCAGCCGCCGCGAGCUGUGCUGUCACCACACCGGGCGCUGGGAAAGCGCGGCAGACGCGCUGCCACCCGUGCAGGCGGUGACUGGGGCGGGUGGGCCCUGCGGAGGCGCCGAGAGCUACGUCGGCGAGGAAUUCCUGCUCUUCGACUCUUCUUUUUUGUUGCUCUUAUACUAAUUGAGAAAUUACUUAAAUUCAACUUGGUAUCCACUAAGAGCUUGACACAACUUAAAAUUUCCAUGUAUUUUAUUCAGGAACCGAUAGCCAAUCAGAGCAGUGAGCCUAGCGCCGCGUGCCGGACGCCGGGCGGAGGCUUGACUGAUUGGCCUUCGAUGACAUUCACAGUCCCACGGGGAAGGACCGGAACUACCUUAUGUUAGAGGCAAGGAAACAGGCUUGACUGAUUGGCCUUCGAUGACAUUCACAGUCCCACGGGGAAGGACCGGAACUACCUUAUGUUAGAGGCAAGGAAACAGGUUUGAGAGGCUAAUAACAAGCUCAUGCGUCUUGUAAGUCAUAGGACCCAGCGCCGACCGCGCCCGUCCACCUGCCCAGCGCGCUGGGCGGGCCGCCCCUGAGCCGGCGAAGGUGCACGCUGCGCCCGCGCUCCCGGGGGACUCCAGCCGCGGACAUCCUUCCCACGCAACACGUUCAUGGAGGAUCUACAGUGUGCAAACCCGUGGGUCAACGCCCAGUGUUUGUUAAACUGAACGGGGCUGCGCUGCAGUUCAGAAAGCGGAAGUCGGCUGAGCAAGGAGCCCCGCCCUCCGGCACGAGCCCUGCCCCCAAAGAAGAGGGCGAGAGAAUGAGCGGCCGCCACUCGAGGUCAAGGCUGAAAUGCGGGGAAUGCUAACUGCAUAGGCUGUGAGAGUCUGGCAAAGGGGGAAAUUAAGCCUGCUCCGCGGGCUGCUCUCUCUGAGACCGUGGCAAGCACGACGGUGUCCUAUUGAAAACAGUGUGGAAAGCUGCCUAAAUGUUUACUAACAGAGGACAAUUAGAUAAAUUAUGUACUCACACCAUGUAAUAUUAAACUGCGAUUUGAAAUUCUGCCACAGCAGGAAAAAGGGCUGUUGGUGAGGAAAGAUGUGCACCGUCCAAAAGUGAAAACCAGAACAAAAUAAAGUGAAAGUAUCAGGUUGUGUCGACGAGUUUCCCUCCAAAAUUGGGUGGGCCGCAUCCAAUCAGUUGAAGGCCUUAAGAGAAAAGAGCGAAGUCCUUGGAGGAAGAGGGAAUUCUGCCUCUGGACGGCGACGUCGAAGUUCUGCUGGGGCUUCCAGCCUGCCCCGUAGACUCUGGACUGAAGAUCGCAGCAUCAGCUGUCACCUGAAUGUCCCCACUGCUGGCCUGGCUGUGGGGUGUAGACUUGCCAGCCCCACAAAGGAGUGAGCCAAGUUUCAAAAGUCUCUUUUUCUCAUUUUCACUCUCUCUCUUUCUAUUUCUGUCUCUUUCUGCCCCUCUGUCUCUCACUCUGUGUGUGUAUUAGUAACAAUUAUUGUAUAUUAGUGUAACUAUAUUGUGUUUAUUAUAAUAAUAUGAGUGUUGUUGGUUCCGUUUCUCUAGAGGACCCUUACUAAAGCAGCAGCGUGAAGGACCCAUGGGGAUCCUCUUUACCAGACCUUUCUUUAAAGACGAGGAAAGGCACGUGAGGAAGGAGUUGGGUAUUUUCACAGCAUUUGCUCUUUCCCUCCGUGUGUAGGAUCUAAUAUAUCCUCACAGCGGCCUCGGACCCGGGAGUUGGCAUCAUUUUCUCUGAGCCAACAUGCUUGAAAGAGAGUCUCACCCCGCAGCAAGCGCAUCUCCCUGAGACGGGGUCUGCGUGUGGCGGGUCUUCUCUGCAGUUGACAUGUGUGGUUUCCCUGGAUUCUCCCUCCCGCCUCCUCCAGGCAGGAAGCCCGGUCUUUAACAGCCUCUGCCAGGAGGCAGAAGCCUCUUGAUUAGCGGGUCUUUUGUAGAAGCCUUAGUCCCUGGCAGCCGGAGCCCGGAGCACGGGGUCUUCAGGAGCACAGGGCACAGCGGGCUCUUGCCUCCGGCCGGCACGAAGGGGGCGAGGUGCGCUGGUCCUGUGAGCACCCUGCCUUCUGCUCCACGCUUGGCGAUCCUUGCGGGGAGCCUGGACACUGGCACAUAAUUUCCACACCUCGCCAAGGGAGACGGCUGCAAGGACGGGGAGAAGGCAGAGGCUGGGGGCAGCAGGAACAACGCAGAGAGAGACUGUGGGCAACCCGCCCCACUGCCAGGCAGGACGGGGUCGGCAGGAGGAGCCUGAUUCUCGUCCCUGCCGAAGCCUCCAGGACUUCUCAGCACCCUGGUGAUAAGUGAGCUUGCACGUCGGGGCAGGCUAGUGGGGCUGCGCUCAGAGUGGGACUGGUGUCAACUUAAAGAAUAUGCAUCCUUCAUGUGUGUAGACACACACACACUUGUAUAAUAUACACACGUAUAUGUGUUAUACAAUAAUAUUUCUGGCCUCCUUGUCUGAGUUAACAGGUUUGUGUCAACGACACUGACAAGGGUGGUGGGAACAGAGGAGCAGAAGUUUCUAGAAGUGUGAUGAGUGAUAAUUUUAACACAAUUUUUUUUAUUUAUCUGUAGUUUAAACUCUUUAAAUUUCCUAAGAUCUGAAAUAACCAGUUAUAAAACUGGGCAAACUAAAAUAAGUGAUAAAAUGUUCUGUUGCUAUUAUAAAAUGUAAUCCCAGUGAGAUCACUUAAUAUAUGUUUUUUCAGACACAUUCUUGUACUGUUCUUAAUGCAACAAAGAUCAGGAAAAAAGAAACAAAAUAUCAGAGACCUCAAGUAAUGGGCACUAAACUCACUUUAUUACUCAAUAUUUUCUUUUAUUAUGAAAUAAGCAUUUUUUUUUUAAAGAUUUUAUUUUUUCCUUUUUCUCCCCAAAGCCCCCCGGUACGUAGUUGUGUAUUCUUCGUUGUGGGUUCUUCUAGUUGUGGCAUGUGGGACGCUGCCUCAGCGUGGUCUGAUGAGCAGUGCCAUGUCCGCGCCCAGGAUUCGAACUAACGAAACACUGGGACGCCUGCAGCGGAGCGCGCGAACUUAACCGCUCGGCCACGGGGCCAGCCCCAUGAAAUAAGCAUUUUUAAAUCUAUGGUUAAAGGCAUACAUUAAAAAAAUAACAUUUUGCAAUAAGAGUAAGGACAUUUUCCUGGUGAUUUUAUUGAGGUAGUUUUGUCUUCCUCAAGCACAGUUUCAAAGUAAAGGUACACAACAUAAAAAAAAAAUAAAAAAUUAACUCUUUAAAUUUCCUAAAAUAAAUACAGAUUAUUUUUAUAAUUUAACUAAUAUUUUAAACAUUUAUAUUUUUAUGUAUUAUGUUACAACAUAAAAAGAUCCUUAUAGCAUAAAUUUAGAGAAAGAAACAGAAUUCUAAGUGGUAUCUACAGUAUAAGAACUAUUUUUUUUAUAAAAGUAAAAUAACAUCCAAACAGACAAAAAGAAGCCUAUAUAACCACUUAUAGAGAAAAGAUUGGAAAGAAAGAGCAAAAAUGAUGUUACUGUGAUCAUCUUCAGGGCUCUCUUUUGCUUUUUUCUACUUUUCUGACAUUUCUAAGGACUUUUGAGUGUGUAUCGCGUUUUUCUCCUGCCCGGAGCCCCAGUGCGUGGUCGCAUAUUCCAGCUGUAAGUCAGUCCAGGUCUUCUGUGUGAGCCGCUGCCACAGCAUGGCUCCUGACAGACAGUGGUGUGGUUCCGCCCCUGGGAACCCAACCCCGGCCGCUGGAGUGGAGCACGCAGAACUUGAGCCACUAGGCCGUCAGGGCUGGCUCAGAGUGUGCAUCAUUUUUUAAAAGGCAAAACUUUGCAGGGAAUUUAACUAUUUUAAUAGUCCCUGGAUAUAAAUACUACUCCACAAUAAGCUUUUUAAAAUCUUGCUUCUCUGGCUAUUGUUUUCUGUUCAAACUAUAAAUCCUUGGAAAGUGUAGAAUUUGCCAUUUCUACCUAAACUUUGCUAAAUGAAAAUUUAGUAAGCAAAAAUCCUUUUUAAAGCCUUUCUGUCUCCAACACACACACACACACACCCUCACUCCCAUACUCACGGACAUACACGUAUACACUCAUACACACUCACUCGCAUAUAUCCUCACAGCCUGACGGAAACGAAUGAGUGGGGCAGUGGCCUUCCUUUGACCUCUGCAGGCGGGAUUACACCUCCAGGGGUCCUGACAAGGCGUUAAAUUCGAGAAGAAGGGCCCACACGUGGGGCAUGAAUGACCAGGUGUGGGCCCUGGAGUGCAGAGCUCCAGUGAGGCCCUGGCAGAGGGCACAGGGGACAGAUGUGGAUUCUAAAGGCCCCAAGGUGGCCCAGGUGGCUGGCGAGCAGUCCUGUGACCGGACGCACCCCUCCCAGGUGUGCGUUGCCAGGACCACUGACUCCUAGGUGUGCUGUGACGUGAGGACGCCCUGCUGUCCCCUCCUCCCCGGGCUCCGCCCCGCUGGUCUGUCCCCCACACUGGCUGCGGUUCUGGGGGAACCUCUGCGGCUUCCUGUGGUCUGUUUGCUGUCGCCAGCAGGCCUCUGGCCACCUGAGGCCUCUCUGUCACAGCCCCUGGCCGUGGACGCCUCACCUUGCGCUUGUCCUGGAAGAGCCAGGCGAGGCCCAGGUGGUACGGGCGACGGUCAUGGCUUUCUUAUGGUCAAGCUGACACUUUCUGACGCUCUCCUUGCUUCCUGCAGGCCUGGCUUCUCCUGUUUCCCUGAACCUCGUGAACUUACUUUGCUUUCCUUGCUUUGCUUUCCUUGCCUUGCAAGUCUGCCGGAGACAAAUUCUCAACUUUUGUUGGUCUGCAAAUGUCUUUAUCUUGCUUUCAAUUUUGAAAGACAUGGUAUUGUCUAGAAAUAAAAUUCUAGAUCUUUCAGCACUUUGGAGGUGUUUUCUUUUAUUUUCUGGCCUCCGUUGUCGUUACGAAAAGUCAAUCAACGUCUCUUUUAUGGUUCGCUGUAUACAGUGUCCUUUCCCUGCUCCGGCUGCUUUUAAGAUUUUCUCUUUAUCUUUGGGGUCAGAAGUUUCACCCUGAGUAUACCCAGAUGUAUACUCUUGUUUUUUGGUUUUUUUUUUUUUACCCUGAUUUGUGAUUCACUAAAUUUGGGCCUGUUGGUCGAUGUUCCAUCAAUUUUGGGAAAUUCUCACCUGUUAUCUCCUCAAAUAUUUAUUCUGUACCAUUCUCUCUCCCCUCUCCUUCUGGAACUUUAAUGACCUGUAUCUUAGAUCAUUUGAUCUUGUCCUUCAGAUCUUGUACGCUUUGUUCCCUUUUUCUCCUUUUCUUUUCAGUUUGGAUAAUUUCUGUCACUUGUUCUUGCUACACCCAAUUUGUUGUAAAGCCCAUAGAUGGAAUUCUUCAUUUGUGCUAUGGUAUUUUUUAUAUCUAGCAUUUCUAUUUGGCCCUUUUUUGUAGUUUUCAUCUCUGUGCUGAAAUUCUUCAUCUGUUCACACAUAUUGCCCAGCUUUCCACUAGAUCGUUUAGCAUAUUUAUCAUAGUUAUUUUAAAGUCCUUAUUUCGAAGGGCUGAAAUAAGUCUAGAUAUAACUUUAUUUACUGUCCUCUCUCUUGACUGUAGGUCAUAUUUUCUUCCUUUGCUGCAUGUAUUGUACUUUUUAUUGUGUGCCAGACAUUGUGUGUAAAAGCAGAGUAGAGACUGAAGUAAACAGUGUUUACCCCCAGGAAAGGUCGCGCCCUUGCUUCUGUCUGGUUGUGUUGUGGCCGCCGAAUCAGCCUGAUCUGCGGUCGAGCUCAGCUGGGCUUUGUUGAAGCUUUAGUUAGACUGAGUUAGUUCGCCACUAGCUUCAGAUGUUUUUGAGGAAGGGGUCGUGACUUUCCCCCGGCACAACUUAGUAGCUGAGAACCAGCAAGACUCUGGGAUCUUUUCGUGCCACACAGACACCUGCCAUGUGAGGUGAGGAGAUUUCUCUCAGCUUCCUCACCAGGACGUUCUCUCUGGCCUCCAGUCCCUCCCUCGUCUGUCUGUCCUUCG
rnacentral:lncRNA from 1 species